GUAGAAGUUCGUUGACGGUCAUACAAGCUUCCAUUUCGUCUGAAGCAGUUUCUGAAUCCGAGUUCUAGAGAUUUUUAUUUCUCUCUCCGGCUGUAUCUCUGUGUAUUCAAGGCCUGGUUCUAAGUACCAAGCUUUUACAAAUCAAGAGAUGGUUGCCUUUGGAAAGAAGUUGAAGGAAAGACAACUUGAAGAAUGGCAAGGAUAUUACAUCAACUAUAAGCUUAUGAAGAAGAAGGUAA